AAAUCUUCAAAUUCAAAAUUCAAAAAUAUGUUGCAGCUCCCAUGGCUUAACAAUCCCUAAACCCUACCCUUUCUUUUUAAACCAAAAAUAUCCUUUAAAUCAUCAAAUUUUACGAAUCGAACUCGGUUCAAACUUAAUCAAACCCACUCAUUAAAUACUCGUUCCAUUUAGAUCCACCUAGAUUUGGCCCAACCUCGCCACUUAUUACUUCAUCUCAUCUAAGAAAUUCAAUACAACCCAAUCAUUCUCAAUUCAUCUCGACUAAUCUAAAUUCAAUCCAACUCAUCUCUUCACUACAUAAAUACCUAAAACUAUCCUUUUCCAAUUCAAAAAUGACAAUAAUACCCUUUUUUUUUUCUAUUUAUAUAAUAGUCCAUCACCCAAAUUUAAUCUCACUCGCUUAUUUAAUAUUCAUCCCAUUUAGACCUACCUAGAUCCAGCCUGAUCAGCCCAUUUAUUACUUAAUCUCAUCUUAGACUCACUCAGAUUCAGCACAACCCGCUCAAUUUAUUUUGACUCGCCUAAAUUCAAUCCAACUCGUCUAUUCCCCUAUGUAAAUACCCAAAACCAUCCUUUUCCUAUUCAAAAAUAACAAUAAUACCCUUUUCCUUCUUUUUAUAUAAUAAUCCAUCAUUCUCAAAUUUAAUCGCACUCACUCAUUUAAUACUCAUCCCAUUUAGACCUACCCAGAUUCAGUCCGACCUGCCCACUUAUUAAUUCAUUCCAUCUUAGACUCGCUCAAAUUCAACACAAUCCAUUCAUUUACCAACUCAAUUCACUUCGACUCAUCUAAAUUCAUUCAGACUCAUCUACGCCCCCCAAUAACAAAUACCUA
rnacentral:lncRNA from 1 species